AAGAAAUAACUGCAACGGCGGCGUUUUGUAAGUUCUAACAAUGCUCUUCCAAAUUUCAAACCAUUUACGAGCAGACAGCAAAACCCUAGCAACAUCUCCAAUCAUCGAUUGAAAGCGGGAAAAAAAAAAAAAACCCAAAGGCAAAGCACAGAAUGCGACUUUUAGAGACUCUUUAUCCCACAGAAAUCCUAGAAAUCGAGAACGGCCUCACACUCGUGCCGCGCGUGAAGCUCAUGCUCACAAUCUACCCUACAAGUUCCUCCGUGACAAAAUCCAUAGACGAGUGGCAGCUAAAGCGCGCAUUGGUUGAAUUCCUGAAGACCUCCCUCUCUGUCUCCAUCACCGUCCCCGAAGAGGACCUGGAAAUCAGACGGUUCAAAGACCUCAAGAAACGCAAGCGAGAUGAUCCCGUCGCACACGGCAAUCUCUUCAUUCGCGACCUAGGAUUCCUAAACAAUAACAAUAAAAGGGACGACCGUGGCGUCGAUGAAGAAGAAGAAAUGUUUGUGGAAGUUCUAGAAAAGAAGUUGUCAGACUGGAGAAAAUACAUUGUUGAAAAAAUGGAUGGAAUUGAAUUAAAUUUGGAGGGAGUUAAGUAUAGACUGAGUGUAUCUGUUCCGGUUUCUGAUGAGUUUGAAAAGAUGAAAAAAGAUUGGGAGGAGUUUUAUGCUUUCCGAAAUCGAGGUUAUUCAAGGGGGAGGCUUGAGCCGGACACUAUAGUAAUUAGAGGAGUACCUUCGAGGUGGUUUGCAGAGCCGAGGGUUUCAUCAAAGCCGUCAAUGUUGGUUACACAUACUAUUUUUUCGACAUUUGGGAAGAUAAGGAAUCUUAAUGUUGCUGAGGACGAUGAUCUAGGUAAGGAUGCGGAUGAGGAUGAGGCAAUCAUUGUUUCGGGUCUUCAUUGUAAGAUUGUGGUUCAGUUCGAGAAAUACAGGGACUUCUAUAAUGCUCUUAAGGUUUUAUGCGGUCGGUCACUUCAAAAGCCAAUUAUCUUGUCCCAAAUGGUAGUUGCUUAUAGUCAUCCAUGAUGUGGCUGGGAAAAUGCCAAAUUAUUGAACAAGGGUCAAAAUUGAAGGCAGAUUAUGAGGUUUCUUGGGACAAGGAUGGCUUUUUCCGGAGCUCAAGAAGUCAUGCAACAGAUAGGAGUAAUAGGAUGCCGGCAAAGGCUGCUAGACAAUACAGAAGUGAAGAUGCUAGACAUGAUAUUUCUCAGUUUGAUGAUACACGCCGGAAGAGGUUCAAGGAAUAGUGGAUUGCGUGCUCUUUCUGGAAACAUUUUUCUUCUGAGGCUUGGCGAGGGAGUUCUUUCUGGUUCAAAAAUCAAAUACUAGUGUGAUGGUCUCGAUAAUGUAUACUUUUAAAUUUGCAAAUUGUCGAUGUAAUUUAUAACACUAUGUUGUGCUAGUAGUUUAUUGAUGGAUUAUAAAGAUUUGACACCACA